rnacentral:rRNA from 1 species
ACUCCUACGGGAGGCAGCAGUGGGGAAUAUUGCACAAUGGGCGCAAGCCUGAUGCAGCCAUGCCGCGUGUGUGAAGAAGGCCUUCGGGUUGUAAAGCACUUUCAGUUGUGAGGAAAGGUUAGUCGCUAAUAUCGGCUAGCUGUGACGUUAGCAACAGAAGAAGCACCGGCUAACUCCGUGCCAGCAGCCGCGGUAAUACGGAGGGUGCGAGCGUUAUCCGGAUUCAUUGGGUUUAAAGGGUGCGUAGGCGGAACGGUAAGUCAGUGGUGAAAUCCUGCAGCUUAACUGUAGAACUGCCAUUGAUACUGUCGUUCUUGAGUGCGCUUGACGUGGGCGGAAUGUGCCGUGUAGCGGUGAAAUGCUUAGAUAUGGCACAGAACACCAAUUGCGAAGGCAGCUCACGAAAGCGAAACUGACGCUGAGGCACGAAAGCGUGGGGAUCGAACAGGAUUAGAUACCCUGGUAGGCUCUG